GAUCCAGCCAAUCCCCCUUUCUCUCCCUCCAGCUCCCCACCGGCCCCUCCCGGCCUAGGUCCGUGACCGGGAGGUCGGAGCCACGGACGCUGAUACCGGUGACCCCGGGUCCUGGAGUGGGAGAGGGGGAGCGAGGAGGGACAGCGCUGGCCACGGGGCUGGGGUUUGGCAUCCCCUGCCUCCGGCUUGGAAAUAGAGCCAUUUUAACCGGAAGCAGGAACCUCGGGACUGCUGCUUGAGAUGGAGGUGCCAAAGCAGUUGGGAGAAAGGAAAGUUUCUCGGCGCACUGGUCCUGCCCCGCCCCGGGAAACUGAGGCACAGAGCGAGGACGGGCCCCGCCAGGAUCCUGCAGACCAGGAGGCUCCCUUCCCCUUGGACCGGGAAAGGGACCCAGGGCCCCGAGGGCCGACGCGGUCCCUUUUCCGAAGCUUUGAGCUCCGGCCGCUCGAAGAGAGGGAGUGAAGGAUGGAAGGAAGGAAGGAGGCCGAGGGAAUCUCCGUCCCGCUGGAACUCGCCGAAUCGUGGGGAAUCAGAAGCAGCGAGGCCCAGCGGCCGGAGCCCGGGAGCGGGAAGGACCCGGCUUCUCACCCCACUCCGC